GGGCCCGCACAAGCGGUGGAGCAUGUGGUUUAAUUCGAUGCAACGCGAAGAACCUUACCAGGACUUGACAUACUACGAAUUCUUCUGAGAAGAAGAAGUGCCUUCGGGAAUGUAGAUACAGGUGGUGCAUGGCUGUCGUCAGCUCGUGUCGUGAGAUGUUGGGUUAAGUCCCGCAACGAGCGCAACCCUUAUUUUUAGUUACUAAUUCGUUAGGUUCUCUAGAAAGACUGCCGGUGACAAACCGGAGGAAGGUGAGGAUGACGUCAAGUCAGCAUGCCCCUUAUGUCCUGGGCUACACACGUGCUACAAUGGUUAAAGACAAAGAGUCGCGAGCUCGCGAGAGUCAGCUAAUCUCAUAAACUUAGCCUAAGUUCAGAUUGUAGGCUGCAACUCGCCUACAUGAAGUUGGAAUCGCUAGUAAUCG
rnacentral:rRNA from 1 species